rnacentral:tmRNA from 2 species
CCCCUUGCGCCCGCCCCGCCCCCGACCUACAUUCAGCCUGUCACGGGCAACCGUGACUAUGGCGAUAAACGCACCCGUAAUAAACGGAUCGGACCCGGGGGCGGUACCCGGCGGCUCCACCAGACUUUCCCCGCGUUGGGGGCGGAGGGGGCCGAAACAGGAUCGACGAACGUCUAAAGGGGCCAGCUUUUGCUCGGUGAGGUACCACCGUUAUCGGUCCGCAAGUGCAGUUGCCAACGACAACCGUGCUCCGAUGGCUCUGGCUGCGUAAGCAGUUCGAGUUAUCGAAACUUAAGCCCUUGCGCUUAGCCGCGUAAGGCGGGGUUCGCAGGUACCUGGCAACAGAAACCUGCACU